UACGUAGGGUGCAAGCGUUGUCCGGAAUUAUUGGGCGUAAAGAGCUCGUAGGCGGUCUGUUGCGUCGGCUGUGAAAACCCGGGGCUCAGCCCCGGGCCUGCAGCCGAUACGGGCAGACUAGAGUUCGGCAGGGGAGACUGGAAUUCCUGGUGUAGCGGUGAAAUGCGCAGAUAUCAGGAGGAACACCGGUGGCGAAGGCGGGUCGCUGGGCCGAUACUGACGCUGAGGAGCGAAAGCGUGGGGAGCGAACAGG
rnacentral:rRNA from 1 species